GACGAACGCUGGCGGCGUGCUUAACACAUGCAAGUCGAACGAACUCGACCUUCGGGUCACAUGAGUGAGUGGCGAACGGGUGAGUAACACGUGAGAAACCUGCCCCGAAGUUUGGGAUAACCCAGGGAAACUUGGGCUAAUACCAAAUACCCUCUUCGGACCUCCUGGUCCGAUGAGGAAAGAUUUAUCGCUUUGGGAGGGUCUCGCGGCCUAUCAGCUAGUUGGUGAGGUAACGGCUCACCAAGGCAUCGACGGGUAGCUGGUCUGAGAGGACGAUCAGCCACACUGGGACUGAGACACGGCCCAGACUCCUACGGGAGGCAGCAGUGGGGAAUAUUGCACAAUGGGCGAAAGCCUGAUGCAGCGACGCCGCGUGGGGGAUGAAGGCCCUAGGGUCGUAAACCCCUUUCAGUAGGGACGAAAAUGACGGUACCUACAGAAGAAGCCCCGGCCAACUACG
rnacentral:rRNA from 1 species